UGGGGAAUAUUGGACAAUGGGGGCAACCCUGAUCCAGCAAUGUCGCGUGUGUGAAGAAGGUCUUCGGAUUGUAAAGCACUUUCGACGGGGACGAUGAUGACGGUACCCGUAGAAGAAGCCCCGGCUAACUUCGUGCCAGCAGCCGCGGUAAUACGAAGGGGGCUAGCGUUGCUCGGAAUGACUGGGCGUAAAGGGCGUGUAGGCGGUUUACACAGUCAGAUGUGAAAUCCCCGGGCUUAACCUGGGAGCUGCAUUUGAUACGUGUAGACUAGAGUGUGAGAGAGGGUUGUGGAAUUCCCAGUGUAGAGGUGAAAUUCGUAGAUAUU
rnacentral:rRNA from 1 species